rnacentral:rRNA from 1 species
GGUAGCAUAAUCAUUAGUUUCUUAAUUAGAAGCUGGUAUGAAGGGUUUGAUGAAAAAAAUGCUGUCUCUAUUUAAAUUAUAUAAAAUUUUAUUUUUUAGUAAAAAAGCUAAAAUUUAUUUGAAAGACGAGAAGACCCUAUAGAGUUUAAUAAUUAUUAAUUAUAUUAUUUUUUAGAAUUUUAUAUUAUUAAAAUUUUAUAUUAUUUGGUUGGGGUGAUUGAAAAAAUUAAUUAACUUUUUUUUUAUUUUUACAUAUUUAUAUGAAAAUUUGAUCCAUUAUUUAUGAUUAUAAGAUGUAAUUACCUUAGGGAUAACAGCGUAAUAUUUUCAGAGAGUUCUUAUCGAAGAAAAAGAUUGCGACCUCGAUGUUGGAUUAAAAUUAAUUUUUGGUGUAGAAGCUAAAUAAGUUAGGUCUGUUCGACCUUUAAAAUUUUACAUGAUCUGA